GGGGCCACCAGCCCCUCCGGGGGUGCCCGCCGCAGGACACCAAAACUAUAUAAUUAUUAGUGGCUCUUCUGAGUAGACAUACAAAUAGUCAAAACUUUCAACAACGGAUCUCUUGGUUCUGGCAUCGAUGAAGAACGCAGCGAAAUGCGAUAAGUAAUGUGAAUUGCAGAAUUCAGUGAAUCAUCGAAUCUUUGAACGCACAUUGCGCCCGCCGGCAUUCCGGCGGGCAUGCCUGUUCGAGCGUCAUUUCAACCCUCAAGCACUGCUUGGUGUUGGGGCCCUACGCGUCCAGCGUAGGCCCUGAAAAUCAGUGGCGGGCUCGCCAUCGGUUCGGGCGCAGUAGUAAUAUCUCGCCCGGGACCGGCGACGUGCUCCGGCCGUUAAACACCCCAAACACUGAAUGUUGACCUCGGAUCAGGUAGGAAUACCCGCUGAACUUAAGC
rnacentral:rRNA from 1 species